rnacentral:lncRNA from 1 species
GACACUUUAGCCUGUUGUCCUCCUGAAUUUAAUGCCAGGCCUGCCUGGCAAUGAGUCUGUUUGCUUUGCUGGAGGUAUGGUAGCAGAGGACCUGGACCUGGCCCAGUGUCCUCUUUCAGGCACUCCAGCUGGGGCACUUUUCAUGGCUUUCUUUGUCAGGGASAGUAUGAAGGAACAGAGGUGACAGCUCUAGGGAGUCACAGUUUUCUUUGGGCUUGUUUUAAACAACAGAUCAGGGUGCAGAAUCCCCUAAAGCAGAGCUGUCUCUAUGGAACAGGCUCAUCACCAUGAACAGACAUCGAUGGACUUCAGAUAAGCCUCACGUCCUAGGAAGCUUGAUGCAACUGGGAAGGGAAGAGGAGUCUCCUUUGAACGCGGUUGCUGAUGGACCCGCAGCACCGGUUCUCCCCCUCCUGCCUGCAAAACCCUCUGAUGUGGUCCCUGUCUACAGGUUUCCUGAAAACAGAGCAGAAGAAACCAUUGGCUACUUCGGGAGAAGCCAGGUAGAGCUGGGAGCAAAUGGCGCAGGAACCCCCAGAGAAGGCUGAGAUCCCGCUCCUCGGAGAGAUGGGGGAGCAGCCCCCGGCGGGUUGCCCCACGUCGGCGGCCCCCUGGCACCCUGCCCGGAGGAGAGAGCGGCGCUUCUCCUUCGCUCCCCGCCGCGGUGCUGUCUGCGCCCUGACAGCCCUUCAGCUCCAGCUUUUUCCUCUGCUUUCCCGUGUUUCUCUUUAAUGAACGUACCAUGAUUCCCCCAUUUCUCCCCUUCCUGUUCCAUGGAGAAGGAGCUAUAAGUCUCACUGGACUGACUGGCACGGCCUCGGUUUGGUUUGAAUUUGUUCAGAUUAAGCAUUUAAUGUGAAUAGCUUGUGCUUGCUUCUCCCUCUGAUUCUUCCCUUUCUCUUAUUCAACAGUUCUGUGUUGAAUUAUUUUUCCUCCUCCUUUUCUCCGCCUCUCCUUCU